UUUGAAAUCUGGCCCUUUCAGGGUCCGAGUUGUAAUUUGCAGAGGGUGCUUUGGUGUCGGCCGUGGUCUAAGUUCCUUGGAACAGGACGUCACAGAGGGUGAGAAUCCCGUACGUGGCCGCCGGUCUUCACCGUGUAAAGCCCCUUCGACGAGUCGAGUUGUUUGGGAAUGCAGCUCUAAAUGGGAGAUACAUUUCUUCUAAAGCUAAAUAUUGGCCAGAGACCGAUAGCGCACAAGUAGAGUGAUCGAAAGAUGAAAAGCACUUUGGAAAGAGAGUCAAAAAGCACGUGAAAUUGUUGAAAGGGAAGCGCUUGCAGCCAGACGUGCCCGCAGUUGCUCACCUGGGCUCUCGCCCGGGGCAUUCUUCUGCGGGCAGGCCAGCAUCAGUUCGGGCGGUUGGAUAAAGGCCUCUAUCACGUAUCUUCCUUCGGGAUGACCUUAUAGGGGAGGCGCAACACGACCAGCCUGAACUGAGGACCGCGCAUCAGCUAGGAUGCUGGCGUAAUGGCUGUAAGCGGCCCGUCUUGAAACACGGACCAAGGAGUCUAACAUCUAUGCGAGUGUUUGGGUGUCAAGCCCGGGCGCGCAAUGAAAGUGAACGGAGGUGGGAACCCCUCGGGGUGCACCAUCGACCGAU
rnacentral:rRNA from 1 species